CCAAUAGCGUAUAUUAAAGUUGUUGCAGUUAAAAAGCUCGUAGUUGAAUUUCGAAAUUUUUUUAUCGGUUGAAUCAACAGGUUCGUACUGAUUUUAAGAAUUUCUACCUUCUGGAGAACCUUAAUGUCAUUUAUUUGAUGUUUUGGGAAACCAGGACUGUUACCUUGAAAAAAUUAGAGUGUUUAAAGCAGGCUUACGUCUGAAUAUAUUAGCAUGGAAUAAUGAAAUAGGACGGCAUGGUUCUAUUUUGUUGGUUUCUAGGAUCACCGUAAUGAUUAAUAGGGAUAGUUGGGGGCAUUAGUAUUCAAUUGUCAGAGGUGAAAUUCUUGGAUUUAUUGAAGACUAACUUCUGCGAAAGCAUUUGCCAAGGAUGUUUUCAUUAAUCAAGAACGAAAGUUAGGGGAUCGAAGACGAUCAGAUACCGUCGUAGUCUUAACCAUAAACUAUGCCGACUAGGAAUCGGACGAAGUUAAUUUUUUAAUGACUCGUUCGGCGCCUUACG
rnacentral:rRNA from 1 species